rnacentral:rRNA from 1 species
AGAUUGAACGCUGGCGGCAUGCCUUACACAUGCAAGUCGAACGGCAGCACGGGAGCAAUCCUGGUGGCGAGUGGCGAGCGGGUGAGGUAAUACGAUCGGAACGUGCCCAGUUGUGGGGGAUAGCCCGGCGAAAGCCGGAUUAAUACCGCAUACGACCUACGGGUGAAAGCGGGGGAUCGCAAGACCUCGCGCUAUUGGAGCGGCCGAUGUCGGAUUAGCUUGUUGGUAGGUAAAAGCCUACCAAGGCUACGAUCCGUAGCUGGUCUGAGAGGACGACCAGCCACACUGGGACUGAGACACGGCCCAGACUCCUACGGGAGGCGCAGUGGGAAGUUUGGUACGAAUAGGCGAAAGACCGUAGAUCCAGCCAUGCCGCGUGCGGGAAGGAAGGACCGUUCGGGUUACGGUUAACCGUACGUUUUACGUUCGUAGGUAA